UACGGAGGGUGCAAACGUUGCUCGGAAUCAUUGGGCGUAAAGCGCACGUAGGCGGCCUGAUAAGUCGGGUGUGAAAGCCCAGGGCUCAACCCUGGAAUAGCCUUCGAUACUGGAUGUCUUGAGUACGGGAGAGGUGAGUGGAACUCCGAGUGUAGAGGUGAAAUUCGUAGAUAUUCGCAAGAACACCAGUGGCGAAGGCGGCUCACUGGCCCGAUACUGACGCUGAGGCACGAAAGCGUGGGGAGCAAACAGG
rnacentral:rRNA from 1 species